rnacentral:rRNA from 1 species
GUACACGCUGUGACUAGCAUAUCAAUAAGCGGAGGAAAAGAAAACUAACAAGGAUUCCCCUAGUAACGGCGAGUGAAGCGGGAAGAGCUCAAAUUUGAAAUCUUAAAGGGUUUCCCUUUACGAAUUGUAGUUUAAAGAAGUGUUUUCUGUUGAGGUUUUGGUAAAAGUUCUUUGGAAUAGGACAUCAUAGAGGGUGAGAAUCCCGUAUUUGACCUUUACUUUCAACUUUGUGAUACACUUUCAAAGAGUCGGAUUGUUUGGGAAUGCAGGUCCAAAAUGGGUGGUAAAUUUCAUCUAAAGCUAAAUAUUGGCGAGAGACCGAUAGCGAACAAGUACCGUGAGGGAAAGACUGAAAAGAACUUUGAAAAGAGAGUUAAACAGUACGUGAAAUUGUCAAAAGGGAAGCGUUUGACACCAGUGUUGUUUUUCUGAAAAUCAAUUAAAGAACUGUUUAUGCUAAGCUUGUUUAGACUUUAUUAGCUAACUGUUUAGUUUUGAGCCUUUUCUUUAAUGCACUUUUCAGUUAACAAGUCAACAUCAAUUUCUUUUGCUGUAAAAAAGCUUGAGGAAGGUGGCUUGAGAUUCGUCUUAAGUGUUUAUAGCCUCUUGCCUAUGCAGUCGGAGAGAUUGAGGUCUGCAGCGUAGAUCCUUCGGGGCUAAAUGCAUUUGUGCUAAGUUAUAGCAUUUUAUAGACAACUUGUUGACUAUGAUUUGUCUUGUAGCUUACUCGCUUAUGUUAUUUUACCUACGCUUAGGAUGUUGAGUCGUAGAGCACGCAG